CGGGGACUAGUUUAGUGGCAGAAUGGGCGCAUGGGGUGCGUCCGGUUCCGGUUCGAUUCCGGGGUCCCCGACCA
rnacentral:tRNA from 1 species